GAUAAACGCUAGCGGCAGGCUUAACACAUGCAAGUCGAGGGGCAGCAUAGAUUGUAGCAAUACAAUUGGUGGCGACCGGCGCACGGGUGCGUAACGCGUAUGCAACCUACCCGUCACAGGGGGAUAAUCCGGAGAAAUCUGGUCUAAUACCCCAUAACAUAUGGAUCGGCAUCGGUUCAUGUUGAAAUUUUCGGAGGUGACGGAUGGGCAUGCGUAGCAUUAGCUUGUUGGUGAGGUAACGGCUCACCAAGGCGACGAUGCUUAGGGGGACUGAGAGGUUUUUCCCCCACACUGGUACUGAGGCACGGACCGGACUCCUACGGGAGGCAGCAGUGAGGAAUAUUGGUCAAUGGGCGCAAGCCUGAACCAGCCAUGCCGCGUGCAGGAUGACGGCUCUAUGAGUUGUAAACUGCUUUUGUACGAGGGUAAAGUGGGUUACGUGUAACCUUUUGAAAGUAUCGUACGAAUAAGGAUCGGCUAACUCCGUGCCAGCCGCCGCCGUAA
rnacentral:rRNA from 1 species